rnacentral:rRNA from 1 species
UACGUAGGGUGCAAGCGUUGUCCGGAAUUAUUGGGCGUAAAGGGCGCGUAGGCGGCCACCGCAAGUCAAUUGUGAAAUCUCCGGGCUUAACUCGGAAAGGUCAACUGAUACUGUGCGACUAGAGUGCAGAAGGGGCAACUGGAAUUCUCGGUGUAGCGGUGAAAUGCGUAGAGAUUGGGAAGAACACCGGUGGCGAAAGCGCUCUGCUGGGCCGCAAACUGACACUAAUGGACGAAAGCUAGGGGAGCGAAUGGG